UACGGAGGAUCCAAGCGUUAUCCGGAAUCAUUGGGCUUAAAGGGUCCGUAGGCGGUUUUGUAAGUCAGUGGUGAAAGCCCAUCGCUCAACGGUGGAACGGCCAUUGAUACUGCAAGACUUGAAUUAUUAGGAAGUAACUAGAAUAUGUAGUGUAGCGGUGAAAUGCUUAGAGAUUACAUGGAAUACCAAUUGCGAAGGCAGGUUACUACUAAUUGAUUGACGCUGAUGGACGAAAGCGUGGGGAGCGAACAGG
rnacentral:rRNA from 1 species